rnacentral:rRNA from 1 species
UACGGAGGAUCCGAGCGUUAUCCGGAUUUAUUGGGUUUAAAGGGUGCGUAGGCGGGUUUGUAAGUCAGUGGUGAAAUCCUGCAGCUUAACUGUAGAACUGCCAUUGAUACUGCAAGCCUUGAGUACAUAUGAUGUGGGCGGAAUGUGUAGUGUAGCGGUGAAAUGCUUAGAUAUUACACAGAACACCGAUUGCGAAGGCAGCUCACAAAACUGUAACUGACGCUGAGGCACGAAAGCGUGGGGAGUGAACAGGAUUAGAUACCCUGGUAAUCCACGCCUUAAACGAUGAUUACUCGAUGUGUGCGAUAUACAGCACGCGUCCUAGCGAAAGCGUUAAGUAAUCCACCUGGGGAGUACGAUCGCAAGGUUGAA